rnacentral:rRNA from 1 species
GACGAACGCUGGCGGCGUGCCUAAUACAUGCAAGUAGAACGCUGAAGCGAGGAGCUUGCUCUUCUUGGAUGAGUUGCGAACGGGUGAGUAACGCGUAGGUAACCUGCCUUGUAGCGGGGGAUAACUAUUGGAAACGAUAGCUAAUACCGCAUAACAAUGGAUGACACAUGUCAUUUAUUUGAAAGGGGCAAUUGUUCCACUACAAGAUGGACCUGCGUUGUAUUAGCUAGUAGGUGAGGUAAUGGCUCACCUAGGCGACGAUACAUAGCCGACCUGAGAGGGUGAUCGGCCACACUGGGACUGAGACACGGCCCAGACUCCUACGGGAGGCAGCAGUAGGGAAUCUUCGGCAAUGGGGGCAACCCUGACCGAGCAACGCCGCGUGAGUGAAGAGGGUUUUCGGAUCGUAAAGCUCUGUUGUAAGUCAAGAACGGGUGUGAGAGUGGAAAGUUCACACUGUGACGGUAGCUUACCAGAAAGGGACGGCUAACUACG